UACGGGGGGGCAAGCGUUGUUCGGAAUUACUGGGCGUAAAGGGCUCGUAGGCGGCCAACUAAGUCGGAUGUGAAAUCCCCAGGCUCAACCUGGGAACUGCAUCCGAUACUGGAUGGCUUGAAUUCGGGAGAGGGAUGCAGAAUUCCAGGUGUAGCGGUGAAAUGCGUAGAUAUCUGGAGGAAUACCGGUGGCCGAAGGCGGCAUCCUGGACCGACAUUGACGCUGAGGAGCGAAAGCUAAGGGGAGCAAAGCUGGGG
rnacentral:rRNA from 1 species